GAGGAGGAGGAGGUAGAGGAGGAGAAGGAGGAAGAGGACGACAUGGGGCUCCUGGCUCUAGUCAGGAUUGCAGGAUUGAGGAUCAGUCUGCACUGAUCUGACAGAACCACUGCAGGUGAGUGGGAGAGCCUCUCACCCUCCCCACCACCCCCGGUCCCGGCGUGAGCAAAGGAGGAAGAAGAGGAAGAUCUCCCCGCACCCGAGCCCCCGCCUCCCGGUCUGUUUGCCUGGGACCUCUCAGCAGCUGGGAGACUAAUCAAACUCCUUUGGCUGGGUUUGAUGGGACUUUUGUUGCUGUCAUCAUUGGAAUGUAGAUGUUUGAAACAAAGGUGUAGAAAUAAACGAAUUGUUUGUGAUUUAGCUAUGGA